rnacentral:rRNA from 1 species
AGUCGAACGGCAGCACGGACUUCGGUCUGGUGGCAUUGGCAGACGGGUAGGUAAUGUAUCGGAACGUGCCUAGUAGCGGGGGUGCCGCAGCGGCGCGCUUCUUCGCAUACGCCGCUCGGGGAAAGCAGGGGGACCUUCGGGCCUCGCACUAUUAGAGCGGCCGAUAUCGGAUUAGCUAGUUGGUGGGGUAACGGCUCACCAAGGCGACGAUCCGUAGCUGGUUGAGAGGACGACCAGCCACACUGGGACUGAGACACGGCCCAGACUCCUACGGGAGGCAGCGAUGAAAUUUUGGACAAUGGGGGAAACCUGAUCCAGCCAUCCGCAUUGUGCGAUGAAGGCCUUCGGGUUAUAAAACACUUUUUGGCGGGAAAGAAACGGCACCGGGAUAAUACCCCGUGCAACUGACGGCUCACCACCGACAGCACCAGCUAACCGUGCCAGCAGCCGCGGUAAUACGUAGGGUCAGCAUUAAUCAGAUUACUGGGCGUAAAGCGUGCGCGACGGUUCGGAAAGAAAGAUGUGAAAUCCCAGAGCUUAACUUUGGAACUGCAUUUUUAACUACCGAGCUAGAGUGUGUCAGAGGAGGUGGAAUUCCGCGUGUAGUAGUGAAAUGCUGGCGAAUGUGCCAGAGAACACCGAUAGCGAAGGCAGCCUCCUGGGAUAACACUGACGCUCAUGCACAGCGUGGGGAGCAAACAGGAUUAGAUACCCUGGUAGUCCACGCCCUAAACGAUGUCAACUAGCUGUUGGGGCCUUCGGGCCUGGUAGCACAGCUAACGCGUGAAGUUGACCGCCUGGGAGUACGGUCGCAAGAUUAGAACUCAAGGAAUUGACGGGGACCCGCACAAGCGGUGGAUGAUGUGGAUUAAUUCGAUGCAACGCGAAAACACUUACCUACCCUUGACAUGUCUGGAAUCGAAGAGAUUUGGGAGUGCUCGCCGAGAACCGGAACACAGGUGCUGCAUGGCUGUCGUCCAGCUCGUGUCAUUGAGAUGUUGGGUUAAGUCCCGCAGUGACGCGAGCGCAGCCCUUGUCAUUAGUUGCCUACGAGGCCUCAAUGGAGCUGCCGGUGACAAACAGGAGGGGAAGGUGAAGGAUGACGUCAGAGUCUCGCAAUACCGCUGGGUAGGGCUUCACACGUCAUACAAUGGUCGGGACAGAGGGUCGCCAACCCGCGAGGGGGAGCCGAAAUCCCAGAGAGCCCGAUCCACAGCCAGUCAGGAUGCCAGUCUGCAACUCGACUGCGUGAAGUCGGAGAUCGCUAGUAAUCGCGGAUCAGCAUGUCAUGCGGUGAAUACGUUCCCGGGUCUUGUACACACCUUGUCACACCAUGGGAGUGGGUUUUACCAGAAGUAGUUAGCUAACCGUAAAGGAGGGCGAUUACACGGUAGAUUCAUGACUGGGGUGAAGUCGUAACAAAGGUAG